rnacentral:rRNA from 1 species
UACGUAGGGUGCAAGCGUUGUCCGGAUUUAUUGGGCGUAAAGAGCUCGUAGGCGGUUUGUCGCGUCGGAUGUGAAAACCCAGGGCUCAACCCUGGGCCUGCAUUCGAUACGGGCAGACUAGAGUAUGGCAGGGGAGACUGGAAUUCCUGGUGUAGCGGUGAAAUGCGCAGAUAUCAGGAGGAACACCGGUGGCGAAGGCGGGUCUCUGGGCCAAAACUGACGCUGAGGAGCGAAAGCGUGGGGAGCGAAACAGG